rnacentral:rRNA from 1 species
CGGCUCAGUAACACGUGGAUAACCUACCCUUGAGACGGGGAUAAACCCGGGAAACUGGGUAUAAUACCCGAUAGAUCUCGACUGCUGGAAUGCAUCGAGCUUGAAAGCUCCGGCGCUCAAGGAUGGGUCUGCGGCCUAUCAGGUAGUAGUGGGUGUAGCGUACCUACUAGCCUACGACGGGUACGGGUUGUGAGAGCAGGAGCCCGGAGAUGGAUUCUGAGACACGAAUCCAGGCCCUACGGGGUGCAGCAGGCGCGAAAACUUUACAAUGCUGGAAACAGCGAUAAGGGGACCUCGAGUGCCAGGUUACAAAUCUGGCUGUCGUGAUGCCUAAAAAGCACUGCAUAGCAAGGGCCGGGCAAGACCGGUGCCAGCCGCCGCGGUAACACCGGCGGCUCGAGUGGUAACCGUUAUUAUUGGGUCUAAAGGGUCUGUAGCCGGCCGGAUAAGUCUCUUGGGAAAUCUGGCAGCUUAACUGUCAGGCUUUCAGGAGAUACUGUCUGGCUCGAGGCCGGGAGAGGUGAGAGGUACUUCAGGGGUAGGGGUGAAAUCUUGUAAUCCUUGAAGGACCACCAGUGGCGAAGGCGUCUCACCAGAACGGACCUGACGGCAAGGGACGAAAGCUAGGGGCACGAACCGGAUUAGAUACCCGGGUAGUCCUAGCCGUAAA